CCCCUAGUAACGGCGAGUGAAGAGGGAAGAGCCCAAGAUUGAAAGCUGGCGUCUUCGGCGUCCGCAUUGUAAUCUCAAGAAGUGUUUUCCGCUUCGGACCAUGCCUAAGUCCCUUGGAAAAGGGCAUCAUAGAGGGUGAUAAUCCCGUACAUGGCAUGGAGCGCCCGAGGCUUUGUGAUACGCUUUCUAAGAGUCGAGUUGUUUGGGAAUGCAGCUCAAAAUGGGUGGUAAAUGCCAUCUAAGGCUAAAUAUUGGGGAGAGACCGAUAGCGAACAAGUACAGUGAUGGAAAGAUGAAAAGAACUUUGAAAAGAGAGUUAAACAGUACGUGAAAUUGCCAAAAGGGAAGGGUAGGAGGUCAGAGAUGCGUCUUGGGAUUCAGCCUUGCUUUUGCUUGGUGUUUUUCCCAAGUUGCAGGCCAACGUCGGUUUUGGGCACUGGAGAAGGGUGGAAGGAAUGUGGCACCUCUCGGGGUGUGUUAUAGCCUUCUACUGGAUACAGCGACCGAGACCGAGGACAGCAGCGUACUCGCAAGAGCGGGCCUUCGGGCACCUUUACGCUUAGGGCGUUGGCAUAAUGGCCCUCUACCACCCGUCUUGA
rnacentral:rRNA from 1 species